GUUGCGGUAAACGGCGGCGAAGGAGUCGGUGGAAGGGGAAGCCGACGAGCCGUUAAGUGGGCGGUCGAAAAUUUAUUCCCCAAAACCCAUCGGUUCAUCUUAGUCCACGUCAUUCCAGCCAUCACGUUUAUACCCACUCCAUCUGGAGACCGUAUCCCCAUUGAAGAACUAGACGAGAAUGUGGUGGCACUGUACGUGCAGGAGGUGAAAUUGAAGUUUGAUGAAAUCUUUGUACCCUUUAGAAAGCUAUGCAAGGCACAAAAGGUGGAAACUUUGGUGCUAGAGCAUGACAAUCCCGCGACUGCGCUUUUAAAUAUGUAUCACAAUUGGGGAUUGACAUUUUAGUGUUGGGUUCUUGGUCUCCCAAUUGUAUAAUCAGGAAGCUGAAGGGACCAGGGAUACCAAAAACUGUGCUGAAU
rnacentral:misc_RNA from 1 species